GGUCCAAGAAUUUCACCUCUAGCGGCGCAAUACGAAUGCCCCCGGCCGUCCCUCUUAAUCAUGGCCUCAGUUCCGAAAACCAACAAAAUAGAACCGCGGUCCUAUUCCAUUAUUCCUAGCUGCGGUAUCCAGGCGGCUCGGGCCUGCUUUGAACACUCUAAUUUUUUCAAAGUAAACGCUUCGGGCCCCGCGGGACACUCAGCUAAGAGCAUCGAGGGGGCGCCGAGAGGCAAGGGGCGGGGACGGGCGGUGGCUCGCCUCGCGGCGGACCGCCCGCCCGCUCCCAAGAUCCAACUACGAGCUUUUUAACUGCAGCAACUUUAAUAUACGCUAUUGGAGCUGGAAUUACCGCGGCUGCUGGCACCAGACUUGCCCUCCAAUGGAUCCUCGUUAAAGGAUUUAAAGUGGACUCAUUCCAAUUACAGGGCCUCGAAAGAGUCCUGUAUUGUUAUUUUUCGUCACUACCUCCCCGGGUCGGGAGUGGGUAAUUUGCGCGCCUGCUGCCUUCCUUGGAUGUGGUAGCCGUUUCUCAGGCUCCCUCUCCGGAAUCGAACCCUGAUUCCCCGUCACCCGUGGUCACCAUGGUAGGCACGGCGACUACCAUCGAAAGUUGAUAGGGCAGACGUUCGAAUGGGUCGUCGCCGCCACGGAGGGCGUGCGAUCGGCCCGAGGUUAUCUAGAGUCACCAAAGCCGCCGGCGCCCACCCCCCCGGCCGGGGCCGGGGGGAGGCUGACCGGGUUGGUUUUGAUCUGAUAAAUGCACGCAUCCCCCCCGCGAAGGGGGUCAGCGCCCGUCGGCAUGUAUUAGCUCUAGAAUUACCACAGUUAUCCAAGUAGGAGAGGAGCGAGCGACCAAAGGAACCAUAACUGAUUUAAUGAGCCAUUCGCAGUUUCACUGUACCGGCCGUGCGUACUUAGACAUGCAUGGCUUAAUCUUUGAGACAAGCAUAUGCUACUGGCAGGAUCAACCAGGUAGGAGCGCGCGGUCAAGAGGGUGGGACCGGCAGGGACCGCCGCUCGCUCGCUCGCUCGCACAGGCGAGAGAGAAGCCGGGAACCGGCGCGGGGCGCGCACCACGGCGGCGCGGCCGCAAGCCUCCGCGGGGAAGCAAGCCGGACGACAGAGCCGGCGGGAUCAGGGGCGUCCUCGGACGCGAGCGGGUCAAGCCCCGGCGGCUCACCCGCACACACCCCAGGGACGGGGCGCGGCAGAGGCGGCAGAGGGGGGAGAGGAGAUCGGGAGGAGGGGGACCCGGAGGCUCCCGCCCCACAGACACACACACCCCCAGCAGACGGAGCGGACCCCGAGCGACGGCGGGCACGGAGUCGGGCGCGGGGGUUCGGGGUGGGGACGCGGUGGCAACCAGGGCACACCAAACGCCACCCAAGGAGGGCGACUCACAGUGUCCCUCCUACACCCCGCCCAGGCCGACCGGCGCCCGCACACACGCGACGCCGGCCGCCACACCAAGUCCACGACGCGACGGCCCGGAGGAACCAGCCACGACACACCCGCGGGACUCGGGGCACACGCGCGAGCACCACCACCGCCGCGGAGCCACCAACGCCACCAGGGGGGGAGCUGGGGGGUGACGACGCCUCCCCCUCCUCCUCCUCCUCCUUCCCCCACGCACGCCAACAAGCCAACGCGCGACGCCACAGCCGCCCGGGGGCGGUUCCACACGCGGAAGGGGAGCCGGAACCCCCAACCACCAAGACACGGUGGGCCGGCCCAAGGGGAGGCGAAACACAGCAGGGUCACGGCGACCCGGGUCGGGAAGCGGAUGAGAAAGAGGGCAAAGGAGACGGGGGCCAGGGCCGCCCGGCAGGCGGAGGAAGGCGCGGGCAAAGGGCGACGGGGAAAAGGACCAGAGCCACCCACGCGACGACGGUGCGGGCGGAAGGGCCUCACCACGCAGCCGGCCGGCCGGCCAGUCGCGCCAGAGCACACAACCCCCACCACCACACGCGGGAUCUCACCGCCAGCACCCUCCGAGGGCAAGGGCGGUCCCGCGGGGAUGGGAAGGCAGCACCUGACGCAGCCAACCGGGGGCCGUCGUGCCUCAGCCACAGCCACCCAAACACGCAUCUUCACGCGGGGAAGACCACCGGCCCCGCCCCCGCCACCAGUCACGGACAGACCCCAACCCCACAAGGCCACGGAGGGCGAGGCACCGGAGGCACGAGGGAGAGGACGCAGGGAGCGCCUUGGGCCACAAAAGCCGGACCCGCCGGGGAAACGGACACGGGAUCCCACCGCCACACACCAGGGCGGUCCCGCGACGCCUGGGACACCGGAGCCCACCUCUGGCGACCCUCCACGUCUUCUCCCACGCACACCCAAGAGCCCCGCCGCCAGGGCGCCUCCACGCGACAGCGCCAACAACCGCACACACCGGACGGCCCUCGCGCCAUCUCCCGCCCAUCCAACCAUCCGGAUCUCCAUGCCCGGAGAAGCACCGCGACCCCGAGGGAACGCUCCCCAGGGGCGACCACGCGAGCCGAGGGGGAAGAGAGGGCUGGGCCCAGCCCAACACACGUGCCGACCGCCGCCCGACGACGGCCAGUCGCAGCCCGGGGUGGCGAGCAGGGGAAGCUGAGAGCUGCCCGCUCGCGCCACAGCCCCAGGGACGCGCAGGACGGACCACGCGCGCCGGUCCCCAACACGAAGAAAGAGCGACGGACCGCCAGCCCGGCCCGGCGGGACCCUCCCCCGACACGGAGGGGCAAACGGGGCGCACGGGUGGGGUACGCCACCCAACGCACUCAGCACAGGAGGGACGGCGGCCGGGGGAUAACGGUACCCCGUCAGAAGGCACGCCCCUCUCUCGGAUCGCUAGAGAAGGCGUUCCUCACCGAAGGUGGGCCACACCCCACCCCAACUGCCCCCCUCCGCCGGGCCGGCAGGAGGCAAGCCGAGGGAGCACCACCCGAGAGACCGAUCAAUCGGGCGAGGGGGUCUGCGGUAUAGGGAAGAAACGGCACCUCGAGCAUCCGCGGCCAGGGCAAGGGCAGGCUGGGCGCAUUACCAAUCCCAUUCGCCACAGCCCUCCCGGCCCCCGCACUCGUCCGGCCAGACCGGACCACACCGCGACUGCUCGACACACCUGGCACACACCACCCCACGGGGGCAGGGUGGCAAGCGCGCAGGCAUGCGCCCACCAAGCCGAUACCCCACACACACGUGGGGACGACGGCACGACACCGGCAGCCUCCCUCCAAGCGAGGCGAAGCACACACGUGUCUCCUUCUCUUACCGCCUCGACCCCCCCAAGACUCCCAAGGGGCACAGGCAGCAGCCAGAGGCAGCCGCAGCAGCGACACCCGGGAGAGGGCGCUGGGGGGACAGGAGCAACACCACCACUCGGCUUCAGGCACCUGAGGCACAACCUGGACCACUCCAGGGGCACCGCACAGGCUCGCGCGGAGGCAAGGCUCCGCAGCCACAGAGCCCACGACAGGGCGACGGCGAGGGAUGCCCGCCACGUCAGAGGACCCCGACCCCCCCCCGCGCGCAAAAGCACGGGGACAGCAGAGGCCGGGCCGGUUUCCGCACCCCUGCCACCCACACACCACCCGCAGGUGGGGAAGGCAGAACGAGGGGCCCGCAGGCCAGAACGAGAGGCUCAGCAGCAUUCACCAUGAACGGCUGUCCCUCAUCUGGAGCGGCUUAGGUCCGGCCCAGGAGAGCGCCACAGCACCACAUCGGUCACAGUCAGGUCUAGGCUUUAACACGUGGAGCGAGGGCGGGGGGACACGACCCGGCGAGGACAGCCACCAGAGGGGCCCGCUGCAGCCUCACCAGCCCCCGCCUCUCACUGCAGGCGGUAGACAACCCCAGCGGAGAACGCCUGACACGCACACGUGGCAUGAAGCCACCCCUCAUCGAGGGCCUUUCAAGUCAGAGGGUUGUCACAACCACCACGCGAUCGGCUCACCAGCGGCAGAGAGCGCACGCGGGUAGAGGACCC
ensembl:lncRNA